GAUGAGAAGUCUCCGGAAUCGCUGUACUGCAUUGAUGAUUCCCUCGAACCCUAGUCUGUCUGAU
rnacentral:snoRNA from 7 species